CCUCAGCAUGGACGCUGCAGUGCACACUGUUCCGUGCCAGGUGCUGGCUGACCCUGCCCUGUGGGAGGUGAUGGACAGGCACACAGGGGGAGCCCCGCAAACAAGGGGCCCUGUUACAGCAGAGUGGGAGAGCGCCUGGUAGGACGCCAAGCACCGUGGCCGGGCUGCAGAGAGGCCUGCGGGACUUGUAGACAAGACGUCAUGGAGAAGGCGGAGCUCCCAUGGGCCUUGCAGGUUUCACCAAGCAAGAGCGGAGAAGACACAGGCUGGACAAAGGAAGGUGGACGGGACAGCCAGCCGUGCAGCAGCCUCACAGGACACAGCUACCAGACAGAGAGCACCAGCUGACACUCAUUCCUCCAGCACCAGGAAAUGCCACAGCAGAAGAGAGUCUUCAAGAUGGGCCAGACCCACUUCUGCAGCAUGGUUGCUGGGAGCCUGCACAGGCCAGGCAUUUCUCUACAGGUCAGCAGAGCUGCAGCAAGAUCCCAGGUCCUGACCCAAGGCAGUCCUGACCCAUGGUCUAUCCCCACCGGCCCUUCCCUGGAGCUGUGCCUCAGCUGGGGAGGUACUUCUGGAAGGCAGGUGGAGGAGGUAAGCCUCCUUCCCAGCCUGCAAGUCUGUGGUUUAGGUGGCCUAUACUAACUGAUACUCGUACAGGUGCAAUUGAGAACUCACUGAGGCAAAAGGGCCUUUGUCAACCCACAGAAGUGACAAGUCCAAGUGCAGACCAGGCUUCAGGUAUGGCUUGAUGGAGGCACACACGCUGUCUUUCCAGCUUCCAGUGUAGGGUGUCUGGGUGCCCUC
rnacentral:lncRNA from 1 species